AGUGAACGCUGGCGGUAGGCCUAACACAUGCAAGUCGAACGGCAGCACAGUAAGAGCUUGCUCUUACGGGUGGCGAGUGGCGGACGGGUGAGGAAUACAUCGGAAUCUACUUUUUCGUGGGGGAUAACGUAGGGAAACUUACGCUAAUACCGCAUACGACCUACGGGUGAAAGCAGGGGAUCUUCGGACCUUGCGCGAGUGAAUGAGCCGAUGUCGGAUUAGCUAGUUGGCGGGGUAAAGGCCCACCAAGGCGACGAUCCGUAGCUGGUCUGAGAGGAUGAUCAGCCACACUGGAACUGAGACACGGUCCAGACUCCUAAGGGAGGCAGCAGUGGGGAAUAUUGGACAAUGGGCGCAAGCCUGAUCCAGCCAUACCGCGUGGGUGAAGAAGGACUUCGGGUUGUAAAGCCCUUUUGUUGGGAAAGAAAAGCAGCAGGUUAAUACCCCGCUGUUCUGACGGUACCCAAAGAAUAAGCACCGGCUAACUUCGUG
rnacentral:rRNA from 1 species